rnacentral:misc_RNA from 1 species
UCUCCGUAGGUGAACCUGCGGAGGGAUCAUUACUGAGUGAGGGCCUUCGGGCUCGACCUCCAACCCUUUGUGAAUCGUACUCGUUGCUUCGGGGGCGCCCCUGCCGUCCGCGGCUGAGCGCCCCCGGGGUCAAUCAAACACUGCAUUCUCUGCGUCGGAGUUUAAAACAAAUUAAACAAAACUUUCAACAACGGAUCUCAUAGUUAUGGCAUCGAUGAAGAGCGCAGC